rnacentral:rRNA from 1 species
GUGAGGAAUAUUGCGCAAUGGGGGAAACCCUGACGCAGCGAUGCCGCGUGGGUGAAGAAGGCCUUCGGGUCGUAAAGCCCUGUCAAGCGGGAAGAAUAGUCGUAGGGCUAAUAUCCUUACGGCAUGACGGUACCGCUGAAGGAAGCACCGGCUAACUCCGUGCCAGCAGCCGCGGUAAGACGGAGGGUGCGAGCGUUAUUCGGAAUUAUUGGGCGUAAAGGGUGUGUAGGCGGCCGGUCAAGUCAGAUGUGAAAGCCCAGGGCUUAACCCUGGAAGUGCAUUUGAAACUGGUUGGCUUGAGUUCGGGAGAGGAAAGCGGAAUUCCGGGUGUAGAGGUGAAAUUCGUAGAUAUCCGGAGGAACACCGGUGGCGAAGGCGGCUUUCUGGACCGAAACUGACGCUGAGACACGAAAGCGUGGGGAGCAAACAGGAUUAGAUACCCUAGUAGUCC